rnacentral:misc_RNA from 1 species
GUGAAUCAUCGAAUUUUUGAACGCAAAUUGCGCUUCCUGGUAUCCCGGGAAGUAUGCCUGUUUGGGGGUCAGUAUUAACAAAACAUCGGUUUGGUUGCAAAUUGUGACGUUUCCGGUGUUUGGGCUUAUCUUAACUUUUUUGGUUAUGGGGUUUAAAAUUGAACUUUUUUGCGCAUUUUUAGACGUACAUACAUUUUUUUUUUUUUUUGUCUUUUAUUAAUGUUAAAGUCUUAUUAGAUGCGAUCAUAACGUGUGGCUUCGUGUUCUU